AUUUUGGUUAACCUCGCGUACACUUCACAGGCACUGGGGGCGGUUAAAACCGGAUGACACUGACCUUGGUUUCUCAGGGCCUGGUGCUCAACCCCGUAUACAAAAGCUGGGCUUUGCUGUGGAGCUGGCCACACUUUGCUGGCUUUGGGAAGGAAGGGUGAGGAUCUGGCCCUAAGUGCUUCCUCCAGCAUGGCUUUUCUAGCAAAACCUUUUGCUCCUCAGGAACAGAGUAAUAAUUGGACCACACAGUCUCCUGUCAACAGAGCACUUACUGUCACCCUUUGACAUCCUAGAACCUUUGUGUACACUUGACACAUUCAGGCACUUUGUGAAAUUGAUGUCCAAGAAGAAACAAGUACAUACACUUAAUAAAUCGAGAUUCCCAGCAGUAGCUUUCCCUUACAGGAAAAGAAAAAUCUCUUUGGGAUUAGAUCAGAUUCUGACACUAGCUCCUUCAAAGAGGAUGAGGAAAAUCCAUGAGCCACACAUUUGCUUUCUGCUGUUCUGUGACUUCCAAACAUAUAUAUAUAUGUCUGUAUAUACAUCUGUGCCUACAAGAACACCCCCUCUGCAUAGCAAAAGGACCAAAGACUGAACACCAAUCAGAUAAAAUGCCUUCAAAUAGAACACGGGCUUGGUACCACACAUUUUUGGCCAGCAACAUGUAUCUUCUAAACUCGAGAAAAUACGGAGCUAAACGGUUUACUUCCAGCCCCGCUAAGCUGUGAUGCAAUUUGGUGUCUGCCCUCACUCUUUUACAAGGUUCAAGCCCUGACUGACUAGCAGCCAGUUACCCUGGAAAACCUCCCCGACAAACAACCGCUUGCCGCCUUGGAAGGCCAGCAGGCAGAGGAGACGCUCCACAGCCGGGCUGACUUCUGCACACAAGCUCGAUCCAGGUGGAGUGCUAGCUGCAGCUCCUGUCUGGAUUUGGAGAAUUGCUGCCAGGAGCCCAGGCGGCCGUGUUGGCUCCACGAGGAGGCGAGGAGGCAGGUUUGGCUGGCUGAGGCAGUCCCGGGAU